rnacentral:rRNA from 1 species
GACGAACGCUGGCGGCGUGCUUAACACAUGCAAGUCGAACGGUGAAAGGGAGCUUGCUCCCUGGAUCAGUGGCGAACGGGUGAGUAACACGUGGGCAACCUGCCCCAGACUUCGGGAUAACGCUUCGAAAGAGGUGCUAAUACCGGAUACGAACUCCUUGGGCAUCCUUGGAGUUGGAAAGUUUUUCGGUCUGGGAUGGGCCCGCGGCCUAUCAGCUUGUUGGUGAGGUAACGGCUCACCAAGGCGACGACGGGUAGCCGGCCUGAGAGGGCGACCGGCCACACUGGGACUGAGACACGGCCCAGACUCCUACGGGAGGCAGCAGUGGGGAAUAUUGCGCAAGGGGCGAAAGCCUGACGCAGCAACGCCGCGUGAGGGAUGACGGCCUUCGGGUUGUAAACCUCUUUCAGCAGGGAAGAAGCGAAAGUGACGGUACCUGCAGAAGAAGCACCGGCUAACUACGUGCCAGCCGCCGCAGUAACAC